CCCAAAUCCCCUGUGCCUGCACCCCAAAUCCCCUGUGCCUGCACCCCAAAUCCCCUGUGCCUGCACCCCAAAACCCCUGUGCCUGCACACAGAGCCUGUGUGCACCCCAAAACCCCUGUGUUUUUAUUAUACUCCCACUGAUGCCUCUAUUUCUGGAAAAUGCUUGGCCUUGUUGUUUAGUUCCCUGUCUUGCAGACAACUUAGAGUGUGAAGUUAGAACUGCACAAGCUGCUCCUGCUGUUAAACACUUUGGAGAUGCUGACACAACCAGGGUCCUGUGAGCCACCUCUUCUGCAAGGAAUGGAAACUGGAAAUCAGCUGAGGGAAGAGCAGGAAACCAUUGUUCCACAAAUCCUUUCUGGAAUUUCCAGCUCGAGGAGUGUUUCUGGAGGUGGCACUGCUGCGUGUUGGUAAGGACACACAAGCACCUCCAUCCUUUGUGACAGCCCAACCUCUGCCUUGGCUGCCCUCCCCAAAAAGCU
rnacentral:lncRNA from 1 species